rnacentral:rRNA from 1 species
AUUGAACGCUGGCGGCAGGCUUAACACAUGCAAGUCGAGCGGAGCGAGGGUGCUUGCACCUUAGCUUAGCGGCGGACGGGUGAGUAAUGCUUAGGAAUCUGCCUAUUAGUGGGGGACAACAUUCCGAAAGGAAUGCUAAUACCGCAUACGCCCUACGGGGGAAAGCAGGGGAUCUUCGGACCCUGCGCUAAUAGAUGAGCCUAAGUCGGAUUAGCUAGUUGGUGGGGUAAAGGCCUACCAAGGCGACGAUCUGUAGCGGGUCUGAGAGGAUGAUCCGCAACACUGGGACUGAGACACGGCCCAGACUCCUACGGGAGGCAGCAGUGGGGAAUAUUGGACAAUGGGCGGAAGCCUGAUCCAGCCAUGCCGCGUGUGUGAAGAAGGCCUUUUGGUUGUAAAGCACUUUAAGCGAGGAGGAGGCUACCUGGAUUAAUACUCUAGGAUAGUGGACGUUACUCGCAGAAUAAGCACCGGCUAACUCUGUGCCAGCCGCCGCCGUAAAAC